CCAACGAGUGGCGGACGGGUGAGUAACACGUAGGUAACCUGCCCAGAAGCGGGGGACAACAUUUGGAAACAGAUGCUAAUACCGCAUAACARCGUUGUUCGCAUGAACAACGCUAAAAAGAUGGCUUCUCGCUAUCACUUCUGGAUGGACCUGCGGUGCAUUAGCUUGUUGGUGGGGUAAYGGCCUACCAAGGCGAUGAUGCAUAGCCGAGUUGAGAGACUGAUCGGCCACAAUGGGACUGAGACACGGCCCAUACUCCUACGGGAGGCAGCAGUAGGGAAUCUUCCACAAUGGGCGCAAGCCUGAUGGAGCAACACCGCGUGAGUGAAGAAGGGUUUCGGCUCGUAAAGCUCUGUUGUUAAAGAAGAACACGUAUGAGAGUAACUGUUCAUACGUUGACGGUAUUUAACCAGAAAGUCACGGCUAACUACGUGCCAGCAGCCGCGGUAAUACGUAGGUGGCAAGCGUUAUCCGGAUUUAUUGGGCGUAAAGAGAGUGCAGGCGGUUUUCUAAGUCUGAUGUGAAAGCCUUCGGCUUAACCGGAGAAGUGCAUCGGAAACUGGAUAACUUGAGUGCAGAAGAGGGUAGUGGAACUCCAUGUGUAGCGGUGGAAUGCGUAGAUAUAUGGAAGAACACCAGUGGCGAAGGCGGCUACCUGGUCUGCAACUGACGCUGAGACUCGAAAGCAUGGGUAGCGAACAGGAUUAGAUACCCUGGUAGUCCAUGCCGUAAACGAUGAGUGCUAGGUGUUGGAGGGUUUCCGCCCUUCAGUGCCGGAGCUAACGCAUUAAGCACUCCGCCUGGGGAGUACGACCGCAAGGUUGAAACUCAAAGGAAUUGACGGGGGCCCGCACAAGCGGUGGAGCAUGUGGUUUAAUUCGAAGCUACGCGAAGAACCUUACCAGGUCUUGACAUCUUGCGCCAACCCUAGAGAUAGGGCGUUUCCUUCGGGAACGCAAUGACAGGUGGUGCAUGGUCGUCGUCAGCUC
rnacentral:rRNA from 1 species